ensembl:processed_transcript
GUUAAACAGUGACCAAGGGGAGAUAGAGAGGUUAUCACCAUGCAAACUGUGCCAAGGUUCUGUAACAAUCAAGAACACGUGGACACCUACCUGUGGGAGGAGGCUUGGGGGAAACACUGUUUCUGGUUGCUGCUGAAGCCAGCAUUCUGGAGAUGGACAGCUGCUCAAGGAAAUGAAGGGAGAUUUUGUAAAUUGCAGAUUCUAAGCAGGAAGACUCAACCAAGAAUACAUGCUUAGAAGAAAACUGUUUCAAGCAUCCCCAUUUACGUGGAUGUAUCUGCACAGUCCUCCCUUUCCACAAACACCAACACUGAAGCCCCGAUGCUGGGAGGCUCUGAAUUAAGACCCUGGAGAAGAACUGCCAAGGGGAUUUACUUUUAAGGAAGCCCAUGAUCCUAUAAGAGUGAUCAUCAGUGUAAAUCAAAUCAAACGACUUGGAUGCUCUCUCCGGCUCUCAAUCUCCAACACCCAGAAGAGGUGUCAUAUGGCGGUUUUUUCCUCUGCACCACAUCUUCCAACUAUGAUGUCUAUCAUCAAAAAGUCCAGAGCAAUGAGACAGAUACCACCAUAACUCCCAGCAUAAAGAGAAAGCAUGACCCUAGACGUGGAGUGAAUUGAGUGUGCAGGUUCCUAC